rnacentral:rRNA from 1 species
AGAACGAACGCUGGCGGCAGGCUUAACACAUGCAAGUCGAACGGUUGUAGCAAUACAGCAGUGGCGCACGGGUGAGUAACGCGUGGGAAUGUACCCUGGAGUUCGGAAUAACAGCGGGAAACUGCUGCUAAUACCGGAUAUUCUCUACGGAGCAAAGAUUUAUCGCUCCAGGAUCAGCCCGCGUCAGAUUAGCUAGUUGGUGAGGUAAUGGCUCACCAAGGCUCCGAUCUGUAGCUGGUCUGAGAGGACGACCAGCCACACUGGAACUGAGACACGGUCCAGACUCCUACGGAGGCAGCAGUGGGGAAUAUUGGACAAUGGGCGAAAGCCUGAUCCAGCCAUGCCGCGUGAAUGAUGAAGGCCUUAGGGUUGUAAAGUUCUUUUGCCAGGGAAGAUAAUGACGGUACCUGGAGAAUAAGCACCGGCUAACUUCGCGCCAGCAGCCGCGGUAA